AGAGUUUGAUCCUGGCUCAGAAGAACGCUGGCGGCGUGGAUAAGGCUUGCAAGUCGAACGAGAUUUUUCGUUGUAGCAAUACGAUGGAAAGUUUAGUGGCGAACGGGUGCUUAACACGUGGGCAACCUGCCAUGAAGUGGGGGAUAGCUCGCCGAAAGGCGAAUUAAUACCGCAUGUGAUUAGAGAGGACAUCCUUUCGAAAUUAAAGUCGGGGCAACCUGACGCUUCUUGUGGGGCCCGCGGCCUAUCAGCUAGUUGGUGAGGUAACGGCUCACCAAGGCUUUGACGGGUAGCUGGUCUGAGAGGACGACCAGCCACACUGGGACUGAGACACGGCCCAGACACCUACGGGUGGCAGCAGUCGAGAAUUUUUGACAAUGGGGGAAACCCUGAUCGAGCGACGCCGCGUGGAGGAUGAAGGUCUUCGGAUUGUAAACUCCUGUCAUUGGGGAACAAGGUGCAUACGUUAACUGCGUGUGUAUUGAUAGUACCCGAAGAGGAAGAGACGGCUAACUCUGUGCCAGCAGCCGCGGUAAUACAGAGGUCUCAAGCGUUGUUCGGGAUUCAUUGGGCGUAAAAGGGUGCGUAGGCGGCGCGGUAAGUCGGGUGUGAAAUCUCGGAG
rnacentral:rRNA from 1 species